rnacentral:misc_RNA from 1 species
CUAAGUUCAGCGGGUAUUCCUACCUGAUCCGAGGUCAACCAUAGAAGGGUUUUCCGGCCGGAGUACGCUCUGCACCAGAACGAGAUAUAAUACUACGUUCAGUUUCAGAGCGCACCCGCCACUGUCUUUAGGGGGCUGCAGCGCAGGCCCCCAACGCCAGGCAGAGCCUGAGGGUUGAAAUGACGCUCGAACAGGCAUGC